rnacentral:rRNA from 1 species
GACAGAGGGUGCAAGCGUUAAUCAGAAUUAUUGGGCGUAAAGCGCGCGUAGGUGGAUUAAUAAGUUGGAUGUGAAAUCCCUGGGCUUAACCUGGGAAUUGCAUUCAAAACUGUUAUUCUAGAGUACAGUAGAGGGAAGUGGAAUUUCCGGUGUAGCGGUGAAAUGCGUAGAUAUCGGAAAGAACAUCAGUGGCGAAGGCGACUUCCUGGACUGAUACUGACACUGAGGUGCGAAAGCGUGGGGAGCAAACAGG